CGCGUAGGCGGUCAUGCAAGUCAGGUGUGAAAUCCCCAGGCUUAACCUGGGAACUGCGCUUGAAACUGCAUAGCUUGAGGCCCGGGAGAGGAAAGUGGAAUUCCUGGUGUAGCGGUGAAAUGCGUAGAUAUCAGGAGGAACACCGGUGGCGAAGGCGGCUUUCUGGACCGGUUCUGACGCUGAAGCGCGAAAGCGUGGGGAGCAAACG
rnacentral:rRNA from 1 species